rnacentral:lncRNA from 1 species
CAGACUCAGAAAACAAUCAAACGAACACCGAUUUACCUUGACUCGACCCGAGACUUUCGCCUUCACUUUGGACUGUCCAAACUCUCUCAAACCCCACAAAAGAGAAGGGUGGUGGUGGUGUUAGCAAUCUACAAAGGUAUGAAGAGGAAGAAAAAUAUAUCACAAUGGUUGAAUCUCACUCACAACCUCACAUGGCUUCCUUCUCUCUCGACUACCUCUCUUCUCUCAACUCUCCUCUCCAUUGCUACAACACACACACCAAAAAUGGCUAGGAGAUAAAUACGUAUAUAUAGGUUAGUUUAGGUCACUCCAAUUGGGCCUAGGGUUCACUAAGAGGGCUACCAAUUAACCCAAACUAAUGGGCCAAUAUUCAACUCCAUAUUAAUCUCUAAAUAGUCCAACUAACCAAAUAAUAAUCCAACCCAAACCCGAGCCAUCCAAAAGUGUAGUUCAUCUCCAAGCCGAGCCAAGUCCAUGGUAUCGCCGUAUCGAUAAAUAAUCCGACAAUUGUUUUAAAUCAUCGCCCGGAUUAUUG